GAGUUUGAUCAUGGCUCAGAUUGAACGCUGGCGGCAUGCCUUACACAUGCAAGUCGAACGGCAGCACGGGAGCUUGCUCCUGGUGGCGAGUGGCGAACGGGUGAGUAAUGCAUCGGAACGUAUCCUGGAGUGGGGGAUAACGUAGCGAAAGUUACGCUAAUACCGCAUAUUCUGUGAGCAGGAAAGCGGGGGACCUUCGGGCCUCGCGCUCUUGGAGCGGCCGAUGUCGGAUUAGCUAGUUGGUGAGGUAAAGGCUCACCAAGGCGACGAUCCGUAGCAGGUCUGAGAGGAUGAUCUGCCACACUGGAACUGAGACACGGUCCAGACUCCUACGGGAGGCAGCAGUGGGGAAUUUUGGACAAGUGGGGGCAACCCUGAUCCAGCCAUGCCGCGUGAGUGAAGAAGGCCUCGGUGUAAG
rnacentral:rRNA from 1 species